rnacentral:lncRNA from 1 species
GAACGGCCACUGAGGAGUGAGCAACAGGACCCUGUUCCAGGAUUUUGAAAGAGUGUCCGCUGGUCCACCUGUCUGGUGGGAAUGGGCGAGAGCCAGCUAGAGAAUCUUGUGCCCCACUGGGAAGUUGAUAUUUAACAGCAACAUGCUGAAGAUAUUCCAUGGAGAGCAAUGUCUAGUAGCAAGAGAGCAGUUCGUGGAUCUCUUGGAUUCUCCUUUCUGAAGAAUGAGAAGAUUCCGAGAAAAGAAUUCUGCCCAUCCACAUGGCAAAAGAUGAAGACCCGGGAGCAUGCAGUGGGAAAAGGGAGGAGGAUGACAUACCCUGUGGGACUUUCACAUGACUGUUCAAGAAAUGAAGCCCUCCCAUGUAGAAAAAAGAAUUCUUCUUGCUUCCUGAUGACAGACUGAAGUAGCGCCCCAUGGAAAAAGUGAACCACAAAGCCUUCUUUGCUGAUCUUACCACAAGUAAAUUGCUGUUCCUCCUUGGAGAGAGGAAUGGAAAUUGAUCCUACU